GAUCCUGGUUCAGGACGAACGCUGGCGGCGUGCCUAAUACAUGCAAGUCGAGCGAACCAAUAAGAAGCUUGCUUUUUGUUGGUUAGCGGCGGACGGGUGAGUAACACGUGGGUAACCUGCCUGUAAGACCGGGAUAACUCCGGGAAACCGGUGCUAAUACCGGAUAGAUUAUCUUUCCGCCUGGAGAGAUAAGGAAAGAUGGCUUUUGCCAUCACUUACAGAUGGGCCCGCGGCGCAUUAGCUAGUUGGUGAGGUAACGG
rnacentral:rRNA from 1 species